UACGAAGGGGGCUAGCGUUGUUCGGAUUUACUGGGCGUAAAGCGCACGUAGGCGGCUCGUUAAGUCGGGGGUGAAAUCCUGGAGCUCAACUCCAGAACUGCCUUCGAUACUGGCGAUCUUGAGUCCGGAAGAGGUGAGUGGAACUCCUAGUGUAGAGGUGGAAUUCGUAGAUAUUAGGAAGAACACCAGUGGCGAAGGCGGCUCACUGGUCUGGCAUUGACGCUCAUGUGCGAAAGCGUGGGGAGCAAACAGG
rnacentral:rRNA from 1 species